rnacentral:rRNA from 1 species
UACGGAGGAUGCAAGCGUUAUCCGGAAUGAUUGGGCGUAAAGCGUCCGCAGGUGGCAAUGUAAGUCUGCUGUUAAAGAGUCUAGCUCAACUAGAUAAAAGCAGUGGAAACUACAUAGCUAGAGUACGUUCGGGGCAGAGGGAAUUCCUGGUGUAGCGGUGAAAUGCGUAGAUAUCUGGAGGAACACCGGUGGCGAAGGCGGCAUCCUGGACCGACACUGACGCUGAGGAGCGAAAGCCAGGGGAGCAAACGGG